rnacentral:rRNA from 1 species
AGGAUGAACGCUGGCGGUGUGCUUAAUACAUGCAAGUCGAGCGGUAAGGUCUCUUCGGAGAUACACGAGCGGCGGACGGCUGAGUAACACGUAGGAAUCUACCCUAAACUGAGGGAUAAGCACCAGAAAUGGUGUCUAAUACCGCAUACGCUCUUCGGAGUAAAGCUACGGCGGUUUAGGAAGAGCCUGCGUCCGAUUAGCUUGUUGGUAAGGUAAUGGCUUACCAAGGCGACGAUCGGUAGCUGGUCUGAGAGGAUGACCAGCCCAGACUGGGACUGAGAACGGCCCAGACUCCUACGGGAGGCAGCAGUAGGGAAUUUUCCACAAUGGGCGAAAGCCUGAUGGAGCAACACCGCGUGCAGGAUGAAUGCCUUCGGGUUGUAAACUGUCUUUUAUAUGUGAAGAUUAUGACGGUAGCAUAUAGAAUAAGGAUCGGCUAACUCCGUGCCAGCAGCCGCGGUAA